UGGGAAGCCGAGGCAAGAAGAUCAGUUGAAUGCAAGAGUGUGAGAUGGAGAUGUGCUCUCUCAACUUGCUGCCCCUGCUGCCGUGCUGUUGCUUGCUGCUGUGCCUCCCUGCCAUGACGGACUCUUAUCUCUCUGGAGCUAUAAGCCAAAAUGAACUUCUCUUCUAUAAAUCACUUCCAUAGAGUGUCACAAUGUUUUAUCAUAGCAAUAAAAGUAACUAAUACAGCAGAGGACCCAACUGACAGUGGUUCCAGGAAUGGUUGGAGGAAACUCCUGGUGAGAUGCGGAUUUGAGCUUGGAUUACUCAAAGCCUCACUAACAAUGAGAACUCCACUGCAGUUGUUCCCAAGGAAACAGAACCUGAGACAAAAGGCUUCUCUGCUGUCCAUCUCAGUCUGAAGGAGGGACCAAGAUUAUAGGGAACAGAACAGAACAAAGGGGAAUUGCAUCAUGUCAACAUGCUAAGAUGCUCUUAAUCUGCACAGUGGGCCCUGUGUACUCAUGGACUCCAGACAAUCUGGUGAACACUCAACUCGUCACGUC